ACACUGAAAUGACUCUCACAGCCCAGACACUGCUGUGACUUGGAUCUGAAACUGUAUCUUAACUGCCCCGAGCCGGUGGGACUAUUUUGAGAGAUGGAAGCCUGAGGAACGGGAGUUCAGCAGGCAGGACUUGGCCACUCCGGGAAGGUCCACUUCUCACCUGGCUCUUUGAGGUAGGAAGACACACUUUUAAUCCAGAUCUUUUGAGUUGGGAAAAGACAUGCCUUUAAGCCAGAUCUAAUCUGGGCCACACCUCCUGCUGGAAACCUACAUAAGGACGUGGAAGAAGGAAGCUUCUGCUCUUUGCCUGCUUGCCCUCACCUUGCUAGCAAGUUCAUUCCUUCAUUAGCUUAGAGCCUACUGCUUUGGGAUUCCAGCGUAUGCUGAAGACCAGCAGAGACAUUCAUGGACUGAACACCUACUGGAUUCUUGGACUUUUCCUUUCAUGUGAGUCUGGAUUGUCAGAAUUGACCAGCACAUCCCCAGUGAAGUGAGCAGCCACUAUUGGAACUACCGACUGAGCUUCUCCAACACACCUUCACAGCCACAAUGGACUAAAAACCAUCUGAAGUAUGUGGGUGCCCAAGGAAGUCAAAAGGUGUUGAAUCAAUCCCCUGGAGCCGGAGUUAUUGGUGGUUGUGAGCGGCCCAUUGCGAAUGCUGGAAGCUGAACUUGGGUCCUCUAGAAAAGCAGCAAGUGAUUUUUAAUCACUGAGACAUCUCUCCAGCCUUGCUACCAUCUUUUAAAAAGCUUUUAAAUUACAUUUUAAUCAUUU
ensembl:lincRNA